UACGUAGGUGGCAGAGUCGUUGAUCGAAUCUGGGUGUAAAGCGCGUGUAGGCGGGAGGCCAAGUCUGCGGUGAAAUCGCUCGGCUCAACUGGGCGGGGUCCGUGGAAACUGGUCACCUGGAGGACGGUAGAGGCGAGUGGAAUUCCCGGUGUAGUGGUGAAAUGCGUAGAGAUCGGGAGGAACACCAGUGGCGAAGGCGGCUCGCUGGGCCGGACCUGACGCUGAGACGCGAAGGCGUGGGGAGCGAACGGGG
rnacentral:rRNA from 1 species